UACGGAGGGGGCUAGCGUUGUUCGGAAUUACUGGGCGUAAAGCGCACGUAGGCGGACAUUUAAGUCAGGGGUGAAAGCCCGGGGCUCAACCCCGGAACGGCCUUUGAUACUGGGUGUCUUGAGUUCGGAAGAGGUGAGUGGAAUUGCGAGUGUAGAGGUGAAAUUCGUAGAUAUUCGCAGGAACACCAGUGGCGAAGGCGGCUCACUGGUCCGAUACUGACGCUGAGGUGCGAAAGCGUGGGGAGCAAACAGGAUUAGAAACCCCGGUAG
rnacentral:rRNA from 1 species